rnacentral:lncRNA from 1 species
AGGAGAUUCUCUGGGAAGAUGUGACAAGAUGGGUACACAGCCCCCAAACAGGAAUUCUUCACCCAGUUCAGCAGGAAGCAAUUAUCAGAAGACCGUCAUCCUAAGCCCUUAAGUUGAGUGUGUGACGGACCAGUGAGUCUGCUUGUGAGUAGAGGAGAUAUUUACCACGCAAGCCCAGCGCCGCGUCAGCCUUUCCAUUCUCGCGUUGUAUGCGGAACGCCUCAUGGGUGCGCGCCAGGGAAGCAUGGGAGUACAGCAAGGUGUAAGCAAGCUCAAGAGAAGCUUGGUCAGCUCUGCGAGUGAGCAAGCAGGAGGCCCGACAGCCUCCAGGAACCCCCGCUUUCUUCUAAUGGGGCUUACUUUGCUCUCACCAAGGACAGAAUGUAUUCUGGGAAACUCAGCCAAGGAAUCUCGUGUUCGUUUUAUUCACGUGCCUUCCCCGUAAAGGCGGGCCACUCACAGUGAGAGUAACACAGACAGCGAAGACACUGGCUCCUCUCAGUCUUUCCCUACUCCUCAUUAGGCAUAGUCAGAAAGUACCCGUGGAGUAUGUCUCAUUGAAACGUGAAACACAUGCAGUACUGUGCAGUGUUUUCCGAGGUCUGUUUAAAAGCAAAAUGCAUGCACAUGUGUGGGACACAAACCACAAACCAUGAUUUGAUUCGGGUAAUUCUGAAAUCUGAAUAGAAUUUGAACCG